GUAACACGUAGUCAACCUGCCCUGGAGACAUGGACAACCCCGGGAAACUGGGAUUAAUCCGUGAUAGGUCAUCUCAUCUGGAAGGAGAGAUGGCUUAAAGGGAUGCGCGGGCUUCUUCUGCGUAUUUGCUCCAGGAUGGGACUGCGUCCGAUCAGGCUGUUGGCGGGGUAAUGGCCCACCAAGCCAGUAACCGGUACGGGCCUUGAGAGAGGUGGCCCGGAGAUGGACACUGAGAGAAGGGUCCAGGUCCUACGGGGCGCAGCAGGCGCGAAACCUUCGCAAUGCGCGCAAGCGUGACGAGGUUAAUCCGAGUGAUUUCCGCUGAGGAGACCUUUUGUCUGCUGUAAAUAGGCAGGCGAAUAAGGGGAGGGCAAGCCUGGUGUCAGCCGCCGCGGUAAUACCAGCUCCUCGAGUGGUCGGGGCGAUUAUUGGGCCUAAAGCAUCCGCAGCCGGUUCCGUAGGUCCUCUGUUAAAUCCAACCGCCCAACGGUUGACCUGCAGAGGAUACCGCGAGACG
rnacentral:rRNA from 1 species